UGGGGAAUUUUGUACAAUGGGGGAAACCCUGAUCAAGCCAUCCCGCGUGUGCGAUGAAGGCCUUCGGGUUGUAAAGCACUUUUGGCAGGAAAGAAACGUCAUGGGUUAAUACCCCGUGAAACUGACGGUACCUGCAGAAUAAGCACCGGCUAACUACGUGCCAGCAGCCGCGGUAAUACGUAGGGUGCAAGCGUUAAUCGGAAUUACUGGGCGUAAAGCGUGCGCAGGCGGUUCGGAAAGAAAGAUGUGAAAUCCCAGAGCUCAACUUUGGAACUGCAUUUUUAACUACCGGGCUAGAGUGUGUCAGAGGGAGGUGGAAUUCCGCGUGUAGCAGUGAAAUGCGUAGAUAUGCGGAGGAACACCGAUGGCGAAGGCAGCCUCCUGGGAUAACACUGACGCUCAUGCACGAAAGCGUGGGGAGCAAACAGG
rnacentral:rRNA from 1 species